UCGUGUCGUGAGAUGUUGGUUAAGUCCCGCAACGAGCGCAACCCUUGUCAUUAGUUGCUACGAAAGGGCACUCUAAUGAGACUGCCGGUGACAAACCGGAGGAAGUGGGAUGACGUCAAGUCCUCAUGGCCCUUAUGGGUAGGGCUUCACACGUCAUACAAUGGUCGGGACAGAGGGUCGCCAACCCGCGAGGGGGGAGCCAAUCCCAGAAACCCGAUCGUAGUCCGGAUUGUAGUCUGCAACUCGACUACAUGAAGUCGGAAUCGCUAGUAAUCGCGGAUCAGCAUGUCGCGGUGAAUACGUUCCCGGGUCUU
rnacentral:rRNA from 1 species